UACGAAGGGGGCUAGCGUUGCUCGGAAUCACUGGGCGUAAAGGGUGCGUAGGCGGGCCUUUAAGUCAGGGGUGAAAUCCUGGAGCUCAACUCCAGAACUGCCUUUGAUACUGAGGAUCUUGAGUUCGGGAGAGGUGAGUGGAACUGCGAGUGUAGAGGUGAAAUUCGUAGAUAUUCGCAAGAACACCAGUGGCGAAGGCAGCUCGCUGGGACGUUACUGACGCUGAGACGCGAAAGCGUGGGGAGCAAACAGG
rnacentral:rRNA from 1 species